AUGUACCACCAGCAGUUUGAGAUACUUGAUGAGGCAGAAGUCACAUGGAACCCGUGGACUCAGGACCAGCUAAAAAUGGUCUUUGAUGCUCGACACUUCACACCAGGCAUGUUGACCGAUAGUGCAUUCUGGCUGACUCGCUGCAACUUAUUGUUCCUGUGGUGUGUUGAACCUUACAACCCAGAGCGUGUAAUGAGACAGUUCGGUCUCUAUCAAGAAAUUCCACCACCUUUUCCCAGACGUAUCGACGAGGAAACACAUAAGCUAACCAAUAUGAGCAGGGGUUGGAGUUUAUACGAUUGGAGGGAAGAGAACAGUGAAUGGGUACACAAGUGGACAAAUGAAGCGCUAGCAGAUAUAGUGCGUCAACUUAGGCCGUACGAUGGAAGUACAGAUCAAGCGUACAAGCAGUGGUACUGCAUGAACACACGUGCUAGCCUGGCCAGUCAGCCAGCUACUAUACCAACACAUCUCACACAAGAGGAGCAGGCGCGGAGACAUGUUGAGCUGCAUGCAGCUUACUAUCGUGACCACCUGGAUAUGAUGCAUACACCCAAGGUGAGGGAUCUCAGCCGUUUCUCUCCAUGCGAGGGAUCCCCAUGCCCGAGGAGACUCGUGUACCAGAUUUAA
rnacentral:rRNA from 1 species